UGAUCCUGGCUCAGAACGUACGCUGGCGGCACGCCUAACACAUGCAAGUCGAACGAAGUAGCAAUACUUAGUGGCAGACGGGCGAGUAACAUGUAGGUAUCUGCCCUUUGGCCUGGAAUAACACGAGGAAACUUGUGCUAAUACCGGAUAAGUCUUUACGGAGAAAGCUUUAUGCACCAUUGGAUGAGCCUGCACUUGAUUAGUUUGUUGGUGGGGUAAUGGCCUACCAAGACUGUGAUCAAUAGCUGAUUUGAGAGGAUGAUCAGCCACAUUGGGACUGAGACACGGCCCAAACUCCUACGGGAGGCAGCAGUGGGGAAUCUUGCACAAUGGAGGAAACUCUGAUGCAGCGAUGCCGCGUGAGUGAAGAAGGCCCUUGGGUUGUAAAGCUCUUUCGUCGGGGAAGAAAAUGACUGUACCCGAAUAAGAAGGUCCGGCUAACUUCGUGCCAGCAGCCGCGGUAAUACGAAGGGACCUAGCGUAGUUCGGAAUUACUGGGCUUAAAGAGUUCGUAGGUGGUUGAAAAAGUUAGUGGUGAAAUCCCAGAGCUUAACUCUGGAACUGCCAUUAAAACUUUUCAGCUAGAGUAUGAUAGAGGAAAGCAGAAUUUCUAGUGUAGAGGUGAAAUUCGUAGAUAUUAGAAAGAAUACCAAUUGCGAAGGCAGCUUUCUGGAUCAUUACUGACACUGAGGAACGAAAGCAUGGGUAGCGAAGAGGAUUAGAUACCCUCGUAGU
rnacentral:rRNA from 1 species